rnacentral:RNase_P_RNA from 2 species
GGAGCCGGCCAGACAGUCGCGUCAUCCAUCGUGCUUGUCACGACGGAUGCCGAGGAAAGUCCGGGCUCCACAGGGCACGGUGCCAGGUAACGCCUGGGCGGCGCGAGCCGACGGAAAGUGCAACAGAAAGAUACCGCCGAACGGUUCUUCGGAAUGCGUGGCAAGGGUGAAAUGGUGCGGUAAGAGCGCACCGCGAGUCCGGCAACGGACCGGCACGGCAAACCCCACCGGGAGCAAGACCAAAUAGGGAGGCUAUGCUGCGGCCCGCAGUGUCUCCGGGUAGGUUGCUUGAGCGCAGCGGUGACGUUGCGCCUAGAGGAAUGACUGUCCACGACAGAACCCGGCUUACCGGCCGGCUCCGCCG